AUUGAACGCUGGCGGCAUGCUUUACACAUGCAAGUCGAACGGCAGCACGAAGGAGCUUGCUCUUUUGGUGGCGAGUGGCGAACGGGUGAGUAAUGCAUCGGAACGUACCGAGUAAUGGGGGAUAACUGUCCGAAAGGAUAGCUAAUACCGCAUACGCUUUGAGAAGGAAAGUGGGGGCUCUUCGGACCUCACGUUAUUCGAGCGGCCGAUGUCUGAUUAGCUAGUUGGUGGGGUAAAGGCCUACCAAGGCGACGAUCAGUAGCGGGUCUGAGAGGAUGAUCAGCCACACUGGGACUGAGACACGGCCCAGACUCCUACGGGAGGCAGCAGUGGGGAAUUUUGGACAAUGGGCGCAAGCCUGAUCCAGCCAUGCCGCGUGUCUGAAGAAGGCCUUCGGGUUGUAAAGGACUUUUGUUAGGGAAGAAAAGGAUAGUGUUAAUACCAUGAUCUGCUGACGGUACCUAAAGAAUAAGCACCGGCUAACUACGUG
rnacentral:rRNA from 1 species